rnacentral:rRNA from 1 species
GAUGAACGCUGGCGGCGUGCCUAAUACAUGCCAGUCGAGCGAACGGACGAGAAGCUUGCUUCUCUGAUGUUAGCGGCGGACGGGUGAGUAACACGUGGAUAACUUACCUAUAAGACUGGGAUAACUUCGGGAAACCGUAGCUAAUACCGGAUAAUAUUUUGAACCGCAUGGUUCAAAAGUGAAAGACGUUCUUGCUGUCACUUAUAGAUGGAUCCGCGCUGCAUUAGCUAGUUGGUAAGGUAACGGCUUACCAAGGCAACGAUGCAUAGCCGACCUGGGAGGUGAAUCGGCCACACUGAAACUGGAACACGGUCCAGACUCCUACGGAAGGCAGCAUUAGGGAAUCUGCCGCAAUGGGCGAAAGCCGAACGAGGCAACGCCGCGGGAGUGAGGAAGGUCUCCGAAUCUUAAAACUCUGUUAUUAGGGAAGAGCAUAUGUAGAAAUAACUGUGCUCAUCUUGACUGUACCUAAGCAGAAAGCCACGGCUAACUACGU